CUCGUUAUCAUGUAAUCUUUUGGACAAUCCCGAAUUGCAGUGAUCAGUGAAGCUGCGUUGCGACAGUUCUAAACCGGAAAAUCGCAUCAGCUGUUUUUCGUCCCCUUGACGUCAUUUCCUUUAGUCGAUGUGCCACCAGCUCUAUACCAGUACUUUGUUUUUAUUGUAAUAUGCGUUUUGAAUAUAAUUUACUGAGAAAUAUUUGGCCAUAAAACAACAUAGCUACAUUAGUUAUUUAACUUUUGCUCAUUAAUUAAUGACAACUCUAAGGAGCUUGCGAUGAGAUAGUAGCUAAGCGCUUCUGCUAGCUAGCUAGCUGAAAGCUAACGGAGGACCACAGUAUAUUUAGCUACAGUGACUGCUAGGUCCGAACUGCAAGUUGAAACAACUAACCUGGCGCGACUAGAACAAGUACAAGAUGCAGAAAUCAGAGAAGAGCGAUGGUGCUGAGGCAACGGUCGACGUGCAGUUUACCGACCUACCCAACGCCCUUAUCGCAUGCAAAGUAACUGAAGAUGUUUUCAAUGACCAAACUCUGAAGGGGUUGGAACAGUUCCAUCAGCAAGAACAUUACUAGAUUUCCCCCCAUAACAAGGCCAGAAUACAGGAAGCUUGGAAAAACUGAUCCUGGUCCUAACUGGGCCAGAAUCUCAGAGUUUAGCCAAGGACAGAUGCACACAGGCAGAGUGUUUAUUUUACUCUUUCCUUUCCUUGUCUUCUUUCCUUCAUGACCACUUAGCUAGCCAAUAAGUGAAAGUGAUAUGUCACAAACAUGUCUAGUCACCUCUGCUCCUCUCACCGAUCUCUUGUCAGGGGUUUUGGCUGAGGAGGCUGUGACCUCUUUGUCAGUCAAAUGAAGGCCACUGGAAGUAGACUAUGUCCCCCUGAACAACAGCAGGGAGAGAGUUGGCAAGCAGGGGCCCUAUUCAGUCAAACGCGUUUCUGGACUUUGAGGAUAUAGCCUAAAUUAUAAAACAAAGAUUGGUAUCUUUAGUAAAAUGCAUAUCUGGUACACACUCCCAUUAUCUCAGUCUCUGAUAACAUCUAGCCUUCCUGAGGUCAGGUGAAUGUGUCACAGGGGCUGAGUUUUUGUGUUGGAAAUCUGACUAAUGUAUUUUUCAGUGUACACAACAUUCUUCCGCUCUGUGUAGGUUAGUCUUUGAUUCAGAGGGAGUUUCCAUUGGAGCUGGCAGGACGCAAGGAACAGUAAGGACAGCAGUCAUAAGCAGGAAGAGAUGAGGUUGAAAAGGGGAGAAAUUAGAGACUUAGUUCUAUGUAAAGACUAGGCCCUAUGCCUUGCAAUUUGUUUAAAGCAAAUAGAAUAAAUCCACACACUAGGGCUGUCCCGAUAAAAACAUUUAUAUUGGUUGACCGAAAGUCAUCCGUUCUGCAUAUAACAAAUAGGAUGUCUAUAUAUCGAGGGGGGAAAAAACAUGUCAAAAAUUGAGUGAUCGGAAUUUUUAAACAUAUUUUUCCAUAUAGACACACUCUAUUUGUUUCAAUAAAGUCAACUAUAUGCAUUGAGCUUGUCUGAUGCUUUAAGCUCACUGUUUGAUGAAAUAAGACGCAGAUGACUCAAGAGGGAGCCAGAGAUCAAGAUAACCAGAAGAAAAAACCUUAACCUGACCCAACCAUCCUCCUGAAGUUGCUGGUAAUGGGCUACACAAGGAGUCCACAACCUUUCUCAUGAGCAAUGCCAAUUUAUCUUACAAUUUCUACCGAUUUGCAUGCUAGUUAUGGUUUUGAAAUUGACUUUUUCAUGGAACAGUUUCAUUUAAUUUAGAAUAACAUCUUCACAUCACAAAAUCAUUGUCAUGUGGUUAAUCAAAAUUCUAUCUAAAUAGAAAUUAUACAAACUUAAAAUGCAACUUCUAUUGCCAUUGCAACUAUGUAAAAAUAGCCUACAUAAAGCCAACAAAUAAAAACAUUGCAGCCUGCAGGUAGAAAAUAUCCUGAUAAAAGAAAUAUCAUAUAAAUCACAUUGGCUACGCAUGGCCUGUCUGCAACGAACUUGAAACUAUAACUAUUAACUUGGGUCUGGCCCAGCUCACACUAGCAAACUUGCAACAUUGUAUAACAUAUUCUGGGCCCUCAGUUUCCUGUGCCAGUGAGCUUAAGACAGACACAGCUGUAGGUUAUUUGCGCAAUGGAUAAGAAGUAAUCAGGUAGGUCUAUUUUAUGACAUUUCCACUGGAUAAGAGCAUGGCAUUUUUCCCUUUCACACUGAGUUGUUAUCGAAAGGGAGAGAGCUGUAAAGAUUUUUCAAAUACACUACCGGUCAAAAGUUUUAGAACACCUACUCAUUCAAGGGUUUUUCUUUAUUUUUACUAAUUUUCUACAUUGUAGAAUAAUAGUGAAGACAUCAAAACUAUGAAAUAACACAUAUGGAAUCAUGUAGUAACCAAAUCAAACCACCCAUUGCCUUUAUUACAGCUUUGUAAACUCUUGGCAUUCUCUCAACCAGCUUCAGCUGGAAUGCUUUUCCAA
rnacentral:lncRNA from 1 species